AUUGAACGCUGGCGGCAUGCCUUACACAUGCAAGUCGAACGGCAGCACGGGUGCUUGCACCUGGUGGCGAGUGGCGAACGGGUGAGUAAUACAUCGGCACGUACCUUAUCGUGGGGGAUAACGCAGCGAAAGCUGUGCUAAUACCGCAUACGCCCUGAGGGGGAAAGCGGGGGAUCGCAAGACCUCGCGCGAUUAGAGCGGCCGAUGUCUGAUUAGCUUGUUGGGGGGGUAAAAGCCCACCAAGGCGACGAUCAGUAGCUGGUCUAAGAGGACGAGCAGCCACACUGGGACUGAGACACGGCCCAGACUCCUACGGGAGGCAGCAGUGGGGAAUUUUGGACAAUGGGGGCAACCCUGAUCCAGCAAUGCCGCGCGAGUGAAGAAGGCCUUCGGGUUGUAAAGCUCUUUUGUCAGGGAAGAAACACCGGCUCUAACACAGUCUGGGAAUGACGGUACCUGAAGAAUAAGCACCGGCUAACUACGUGCCAGCCGCCGCCGUAA
rnacentral:rRNA from 1 species